UACCGAGCAAUGUUGUAUUCUGUUGUC
rnacentral:piRNA from 1 species